GGAGAGUUGGCUGAGCGGUCGAAAGCGGCGGUCUUGAAAACCGUUGUGGGGGUAACUCCACCGGGGGUUCGAAUCCCUCACUCUCCG
rnacentral:tRNA from 1 species